rnacentral:rRNA from 1 species
AUGCCCUUUUCCGUUUCCUCUGGAACGAAACCGAAACCCCAAAUUGCCCUUCCGCAGCAACCGCAGCCGCCGCCGCCGCCGCUGCCGCCGUCCGCCAUGGGCACGGAGGUGGUGCCCGUGGUGGACCUUGGCGCGCUGUCCCAGUCGGAGCUCGUGGCGCUCGCGGCCGCAUCGCCCUACGCCGUCGACCCCCGCCGCGGGCGCCGCGACGCCGACCUCCUCCCGCCCCCUAAGAUCGAUCGCGCCGUCUUCAACGAGAGUGCCGGCUCCCGCAAGCAGACCUUCUCCCGCCGCCGCGCCGCCACCAAUCUCCCCCACAAUCUCACCCCUAGCACCGCCUCCUCCUCCGCCGUCGCCGCCCCCACGGAGGAGGAUUCCGAGAACCGCCUCAUUGUGUUCCACCUCCAGCAGCUCUUUGCGCGCGACGACCCCUCCUAUCUGCCACCACCACCGCCGAUUCCACUCCAACAGCUACCCCCGAUACCCAUACCCGCACCCACGAUACCGGUGCCCACACCCCCCGUGGCCUCCGUGCCGAUCCAGCAGCUCCCGGACCCAGACCGGGAUUUGACGAACCCCAAGGGGGUGGCUGUUGAUUUGGCCAGACUCGCGGAGUUGGUGGAUCCGUAUGGGGAGGAGAUACGAAAUCGGACUGCAGGACUGGCUCUGGAAUCCGAGCUGCUGGGUUUCAUGAAUGAGUUGGAGGGGCAGUGGGGGAGUCGGAGGCGGCGGAGGAAGUUUGUGGAAGCAGCCAUAUUCGGCGACCACCUGCCCCGUGGGUGGAAGCUAAUCCUUGGGAUUAAACGGAAGGAGCGUGCUGCCUGGAUCAAUUGCCGCCGAUAUGUUAGCCCCAGGGGACAUCAAUUUGCUACUUGUAGAGAAGUUUCUUCCUAUUUCAUGUCACUUCUUGGAUAUGUGGAGGCAAAGCCAACCACUGUUCAGAACAAUGAUAUGGGAGUUCGUGACUUGAGUGCUGUGAAUGUGGGAGUUCGUGACUUGAGUGCUGUGAAUGUGGGAGUUCAGAACAACGAUGUGGGAGUUCGUGACUUGAGUGCUGUGAAUACUGCAGGUCUUCACCAGCAAAAUGAUUCAACUAGGGACAUGCAAAGUGCAGUGUCAGCCACUUCUGUUACAUUAUCCAUUCACAAUGGUGAUUCUCAGGGACAGAGACAAAAACCUUAUAAAGAUGAAGCUCCGAUAGAAGCAGUCAGGAAAGAGUGCAAAAAAUGCAAUUUGACUUUUGAGGACCAGAGUGCCUAUGUGCAGCAUCAAUUGUCUUUUCAUCAAAGGAAAGCUAAAAGGCGCAAGGUUGAUAAAUCGAUUGGUCUGGGAGUCAGUAAAGAUGGAAAACUUGAGACUCAAGAAAGUCAGAGGACCUCUGAAGAUAAACCUGGCUAUUUUGGUCAUGGUGUAGCUGAUGUUAAAAGUCAAGGUCAGAGUCCAGCAGAACUGUUUGGCGGAGCUUCUUCAGGAGAUGUAGGUGCUCAGCUAUCCUUGGCUGCAGCACCAUGUGGGUUGCAAGAGAUAACUGCCUUACCUGAACAGGUAGAAGAGCCAUCUGCUGGAGAGCCUGUCUCUGGGCAUCAGGACCUUCCUCAGGAGACUACUGGUUUACCUCAACAGGAAAAAGAACUUUCUGCUACAGAGCCUUUCGCUGGGCAUCAAAAGGAACAUGUUGAUAAUUCUGGUGACCAUGAAAUCCAUGAUGGAGCAUGUCAUAUAGCUGAAGAGCCUCUUGCCUUUGAUGUUGGAAGCAACCUUAGUACUUGCAAGUCUCCUGAACCAGAAGUUCAUGAGCAUGACAGCUCAAAAGAUUUGGAAUUUUCCAUCGCAGAUUGCUCAGGAAGUUUUGACAGGUCUCAUGAAAUCUCUAAGAUACCUCAGGAUGUUCCAUGUACUGCAGAUGCUCCAGGUGAAAAAAGUUGCUCUGAUGAUCCAAUGGACUGUGCUGAUAUAACACUGCCAAAACAAGUUCCUGAGCACUGUGAUAUGCUGGAUCACAAAUUUAGAGGUUUUCCUGGAGGAACUGGUUUUAAUGACCAGGUGGGAAAUAAUCCACUGUCUGCCAACUUGGAUGAGCCUGAUCUUAGUUCCAACAGCAUGGAGGUAGAUAACAGCAAGAUAGCUUGCAAGUUUGGCGAUAUGCUGAAUUCUACCAGCUCUGAAUAUGAUAAACCUGUUGUGGAUCAAAUUGAUCGUGGAGUGACUGCCUUGAAAAAUGAUGCGAUCAACAUUGAUGAUGGGAUGAACAUUGAUGUCAGAAUAAAGGAGGUUAACCUCAAUUCAUGCUUAGAUACAAUAUCUUCUCCUGUUUCUGGUGCAAACUGUGAAACGUCUAAUGCCCUUCAUGAUGGCAAUCGAUCGUCCAUUCUCGCCCAAUGUUUUGGUGGUAGCUCUAAUGAUGACAAUGUUUGUCAGGACGAAAGUUUUGUCAAUCAGAACAAUGUUUCUAAGGCUGAAAUUUUUGUCAAUCAGAGCAAUGACAUGGUGUAUCAAUCCAAUUUGAACAUGAAUCCUAUCUCUCCUCCUCAAAUUAGUGUGGAUUAUUUCACUAACUGCUCAAUGAAUUCUGAAAUUAAGAACAACGACAACCGACGUGAUGAUAAUGCCAAGGAACAGUUUGUGAACUCACGGAACAUAUCAAGUAAUGAACCAGGUUUUGAUGCUGAAGCUUACAACAAUGACAUCUUCACUGGUGCUAUGGCAGAAACUAGCUUUGCUCAGCUGAAUAAUGCUAUGAAUAUGAAGACUGAUUACUCAAGCUGCUACUCAAUAUCUGAUCUAAAUACGCUGACUGGUGGUACUGCAACUGAUGGAAUUGAUUUCCAUGGUAUGAGGAGUUCUUUUGUAAGUGGCUCCACCAGUCGCAGUGAACCAAAUGAACUUGAUUUUGAUAUCAAGGGUUCCAUGCUCGAGGCUCUGGAAAGAUCGGACAGCGACCUGGAAACACAGUACAAUGGUGGCGAUCCUGCCAUUGACUCACUCCCUGCGGCAGGCACAAGUGGGACAAGUGUUGAUGAUUUUAUGUCCAUGCACACCAAUUUUGGUAGCUUGACCUCUUUGGUUCGUUCCGUUGAAGGUGGUCCAAUGAGCAGACUUAUUCAAGAUCAGUGUGAUUUGCAACUUGGAUUUGGUGCACAGAAGCAGCAAAUAUAUCCUAGUUUUGAGGAGCACCUUCGGAUGGCCUCAGCUGGAGCUCCGCAGUUUGGGAACAUGGGCAGACACAAUCCCAUGCCUGUGCCUGUGCCCGUGCCCGAGCCAACACUGAUGCUAGGGUAUGAGCCAACGUUGAUGCUGGGUUAUGCACCGCAGUUCGGGAGCUGCCCUCCGGUCCAGUUAGGUUGGGACCUGUCCAAGAUGGUUGGCGUGCUCCAGUCUGUAUGUGUGUGGUGCAACACAAGGUUCCAGCAUUUUGGCACGGCCGAGCAGCAGAACGACUCUGUUGGCUUCAUUUGCCCCGCAUGCAAGGACAAGACAUCUGGUCAUCUUGGUACACUCAACAAUGGUUCAUUGCUUUAG